GCGUGGCACUGGCGUGGAGCCCCUCAGACGUGUCCCUGGGCUGAGGCGUUCCUGUCACUUCUCCCCAUGUCCCAGGUGCAGUUGGCUGGACGCGGGUGUCGGUGCCUGUUGGCGAAUCCCAUUUUCCUGAUCCGCGAUGCCCUACCUGUGAGGCGAGGACGCCCAUCGAGAGGCAGGGUGUGUAGGAUGUGGUCAGCUGGGAGUCGCCCACAUCUGCAGUGCAGUUGGCUGGACGCGGGUGUCGGUGCCUGUUGGCGAAUCCCAUUUUCCUGAUCCGCGAUGCCCUACCUGUGAGGCGAGGACGCCCAUCGAGAGGCAGGGUGUGUAGGAUGUGGUCAGCUGGGAGUCGCCCACAUCUGCAGUGCAGUUGGCUGGACGCGGGUGUCGGUGCCUGUUGGCGAAUCCCGUUUUCCUGAUCCGCGAUGCCCUACCUGUGAGGCGAGGACGCCCAUCGAGAGGCAGGGUGUGUAGGAUGUGGUCAGCUGGGAGUCGCCCACAUCUGCAGUGCAGUUGGCUGGACGCGGGUGUCGGUGCCUGUUGGCGAAUCCCAUUUUCCUGAUCCGCGAUGCCCUACCUGUGAGGCGAGGACGCCCAUCGAGAGGCAGGGUGUGUAGGAUGUGGUCAGCUGGGAGUCGCCCACAUCUGCAGUGCAGUUGGCUGGACGCGGGUGUCGGUGCCUGUUGGCGAAUCCCAUUUUCCUGAUCCGCGAUGCCCUACCUGUGAGGCGAGGACGCCCAUCGAGAGGCAGGGUGUGUAGGAUGUGGUCAGCUGGGAGUCGCCCACAUCUGCAGUGCAGUUGGCUGGACGCGGGUGUCGGUGCCUGUUGGCGAAUCCCAUUUUCCUGAUCCGCGAUGCCCUACCUGUGAGGCGAGGACGCCCAUCGAGAGGCAGGGUGUGUAGGAUGUGGUCAGCUGGGAGUCGCCCACAUCUGCAGUGGAGUUGGCUGGACGCGGGUGUCGGUGCCUGUUGGCGAAUCCCAUUUUCCUGAUCCGCGAUGCCCUACCUGUGAGCCGAGGACGCCCAUGGAGAGUCAGGGUGUGUAGGCUGUGGUCACCUGGGAGUCGCCCACAUCUGCGGUUGGAAGUAAGAUGGCAGUUGCAUGGAAUUCUUGCCACUUCACCAAAGAAUACUUGAUUUUGUCACUUUUACCAACUCCCUUAUCUGAGAAGAAACAAUGAUGCACUCUGAAGAUAAUGAUGGAUGCAUAUGCCAUUUCCAGAGAGUGAGAUGACAAAUUAUUUUUAAGUCAGUGGUUCUCCAUUGCUACCUGUGGCCUUUUGGACACCCUUGCAGAUUACUUCUUGGGAACUCUUGGGUAUGAAUGAUACCAGUAAAUCUCUGAAACAAGACUCUUCAGACAAGGAGACUGUGGUCUGAGGACCACACUUUGAAGGUGGUGACCACCAAUAUGAGGUCGAUUUGUUAUUGAGGGUGCCAUUACUUCUACCACCAACUGCACCAAAACAAUGAUACACUCUUCUUUAUGCUUGGCGAUUCCUCUCUUUCCCGUGUUGCAGUGGAUACCUCCUGCAGAUAAGAAAUGCUUAACUGAGAAAUGCUCAUGUUGGGAUAUCAUCGAUGAGACUUUAAUUUGGGCAUGGUGACUGUUUCCCUUGCUGCCACUUGACUCAAUCCCAGGAGCCUCAGUAGAGGAAAUAUUAUUAUACAAGAAACUCAAAAUGGUGGAAUUUCUCAGUGCUCCCAUAAAUAUACAUUUAUAAUUUCCAUUUACCAUAUGGUAAAAAUUUUAAAUAGGAUAUAUUAAAAUAAACUGCACAAUUUUUUUCAAAAAUUCAAAGCAUAUUUAAAUAUCUAAUAUAUAAAUUAUGUGCCCUCCUCUCUGCAAGUUCUCUCCCCCAGAGUUUUCUUCUCUUAAGAGUUGUGUGCAUUCUUUAAGUGGAUAGAUGCACACACACAGACACACAUAUACACAAACUAUUUAGAGGGGUUUUGGAAGUGGGGCCAUACUGUACACAUUCUUCUGCAAAUUGCCUUUCAUUUUACAGUUUUAAUACCCUUUUCUAUUUCAAUAAUAUACAUCUGUGUCAUUUGUUGAAUGACUGCAUGACUGUUUUGUAGAUGAAAUAUAAUUAAAUGUUAUAAGACUUUCUCAUCCAUAGAUAUUUGUUAGCACAAAAUUUUUGUGCAGUGAACCUCCCUAUCAAUAAUUUUGCAUUUGUCUCUUAUAUCAUAAUAAAUUACUUAGCAGUUGAAAUACUGGGAUUAUGCACAUUUAAAAUUAUUACAAGAUUUCCUUAAAAUGUGGUAACAACUUUAUCUUCAAAUGGCAAUGAAUGAGAUUGCCAGCUUUCCCACAACUACACAGAUAAUGGAUUUUAUAAAUAUUUAAACUUUUUGCAAAUGUGAUAGCCCAAACUAUUGUCUUAAAUUGUAUUUCUUUUGUUUUUGAGUUUGAUCAUUUUUUCAUAUGUUUAUUAGCCAUUUGUAUUCUUUAAUUUCCUCUUUAUGUCCAAUUUUGGGGGUGGAGGUUUAAUCUUCUAAUUUUGAAGAGCUAAUUUAUUAUUGAGGAAAAAAGGUUUGGAUUGUUAAGCUUUACAGAUAUUUUUUAUGCACUUUUAAACUUUAUUUUUGUUAUAAGAAUGUGUAUGAUUGUUAUAUGUCCAAGUAUAACCAUGUUUGCUUUAAUGGCUUAUGAGUUUCAUGACAUUUUGGAAAAAUAUUUAUACUGAUUUCAUAAAACCGUUCACCUAUGUUAA